rnacentral:rRNA from 1 species
ACGGAGGGAGCGAACGUUGUUCGGAUUCACUGGGCGUAAAGGGCGUGUAGGCGGCUUGGUAAGUCAGGGGUGAAAUCCGCGGCUCAACCGCGGAGUUGCCUUUGAAACUGCCGAGCUUGAGGCCGUGAGAGGAGACUGGAAUUCCCAGUGUAGCGGUGAAAUGCAUGGAUAUUGGGAAGAACACCAGUGGCGAAGGCGAGUCUCUGGCACGGAUCUGACGCUGAGGCGCGAAAGCUAGGGGAGCAAACGGGA